UACAGAGGGUGCAAGCGUUGUUCGGAAUUAUUGGGCGUAAAGGGAGUGUAGGCGGUUUCCUAAGUCUUCUGUGAAAUCUACGGGCUUAGCCUGUAACGUGCAGAGGAAACUGGGAGACUUGAGUGUCGGAGAGGAUAGGGGAAUACCCGGUGUAGAGGUGAAAUUCGUAGAUAUUCGGAAGAACACCAGUGGCGAAGGCGACAUACUGGGUCAUGACUGACGCUGAGGCUCGAAAGCGUGGGGAGCAAACAGG
rnacentral:rRNA from 1 species